rnacentral:rRNA from 1 species
GGGUUGUGAGGUUAAGCGACUAAGCGUACACGGUGGAUGCCCUGGCAGUCAGAGGCGAUGAAGGACGUGCUAAUCUGCGAUAAGCGUCGGUGAGGUGAUAUGAACCGUUAUAACCGGCGAUUUCCGAAUGGGGAAACCCAGUGUGUUUCGACACACUAUCAUUAACUGAAUCCAUAGGUUAAUGAGGCGAACCGGGGGAACUGAAACAUCUAAGUACCCCGAGGAAAAGAAAUCAACCGAGAUWCCSSCAGUAGCGGCGAGCGAACGGGGAGGAGMCCAGGGCCUGAAUCAGUUAGUGCGUGAGUGUCAUCGUGUGGAAAGGCGCGC